rnacentral:rRNA from 1 species
AGGAUGAACGCUGGCGGCGUGCCUAACACAUGCAAGUCGAACGUCCUGUCUCGCAAGAGGCAGGGAGUGGCGGACGGGUGAGUACCACGUGGGUCAUCUACCGUGAGGUGAGGAAUACCGGCGAGAAAUCGCCGACAAGACCGCAUAGGCUCGAUGCAAGUCGAGCAAAGCUCUUUCGAGAGAGGGAGCGCCACACGAGGAGCCUGCGCCCGAUUAGCUAGCUGGUGGAGUAACGGUUCACCAGGGCGACGAUCGGUAGCUGGUCUGAGAGGACGAUCAGCCACACUGGGAUUGAGAACGGCCCAGACUCCUACGGGGGCAGCAGUGAGGAAUUUCGUCAAUGGGGGCAACCCUGAACGAGCAACGCCGCGUGCAGGAAGAAGGUUUUCGGAUCGUAAACUGCUUUUCUCGGGAAGAGAACGGACGGUACCCGAGGAAUCAGCCCGGCUAACUACGUGCCAGCAGCCGC